GACGAACGCUGGCGGCGUGCUUAACACAUGCAAGUCGAACGGUAAGGCCCCUUCGGGGGUACACGAGUGGCGAACGGGUGAGUAACACGUGAGCAACCUGCCCUUGACACUGGAAUAACAGUUGGGAACAGCUGCUAAUGCCGGAUACGACCUCUGGUGGCAUCACCUGGAGGUGGAAAGUGCUUAGCGGUCAAGGAUGGGCUCGCGGCCUAUCAGCUAGUUGGUGAGGUAACGGCUCACCAAGGCUUCGACGGGUAGCCGGCCUGAGAGGGCGACCGGCCACACUGGGACUGAGAUACGGCCCAGACUCCUACGGGAGGCAGCAGUGGGGAAUAUUGCACAAUGGGCGCAAGCCCGAUGCAGCAACGCCGCGUGCGGGAUGACGGCCUUCGGGUUGUAAACCGCUUUCAGUUCCGACGAAGCGCAAGUGACGGUAGGAACAGAAGAAGGACCGGCCAACUACGUGCCAGCAGCCGCCGUAAAAC
rnacentral:rRNA from 1 species